rnacentral:rRNA from 1 species
AUUGAACGCUGGCGGCAUGCCUUACACAUGCAAGUCGAACGGCAGCAUGGGUGCUUACACCUGAUGGCGAGUGGCGAACGGGUGAGUAAUGCAUCGGAACGCGCCCUGAAGUGGGGGAUAACGUAGCGAAAGUUACGCUAAUACCGCAUAUUCUGUGAGCAGGAAAGAGGGGGAUCGCAAGACCUCUUGCUUUAGGAGCGGCCGAUGUCGGAUUAGCUAGUUGGUGGGGUAAAGGCCUACCAAGGCGGCGAUCCGUAGCGGGUCUGAGAGGAUGAUCCGCCAAACUGGGACCGAGACACGGCCCAGACUCCUACGGGAGGCAGCAGUGGGGAAUUUUGGACAAUGGGCGCAAGCCUGAUCCAGCCAUGCCGCGUGAGUGAAGAAGGCCUUCGGGUUGUAAAGCUCUUUCGGUGGGGAAGAAAUUGCACUGGCUAAUAUCUAGUGUAGAUGACGGUACCCGCAUAAGAAGCACCGGCUAACUACGUGCCAGCCGCCGCCGUAA